GACGAACGCUGGCGGCGUGCUUAACACAUGCAAGUCGAACGGUGAACCUCUUCGGAGGGGAUCAGUGGCGAACGGGUGAGUAACACGUGGGCAACCUGCCCCCGGCUCUGGGAUAACUCCAAGAAAUUGGGGCUAAUACCGGAUGUUCACCGCUUCCCGCAAGGGUGGUGGUGGAAAGGGUUUCCGGCUGGGGGUGGGCCCGCGGCCUAUGCGCCUGUUGGUGGGGUAGUGGCCUACCAAGGCGGCGACGGGUAGCCGGCCUGAGAGGGUGCCGGGCCACACUGGGACUGAGACGCGGCACAGACUCCUACGGGAGACAGCAGUGGGGUAUAUUGCGCAAUGGGCGGAAGCGUGACGCAGCGACGCCGUGUGGGGGAUAACGGCCUUCGGGUUGUAAACCUUUUUCAGCAGGGACGAAGCGCAAGUGACGGUACCUGCAGAAGAAGCACCGGCCAACUACGUG
rnacentral:rRNA from 1 species